UACGUAGGUGGCAAGCGUUGUCCGGAAUUAUUGGGCGUAAAGCGCGCGCAGGUGGUUUCUUAAGUCUGAUGUGAAAGCCCACGGCUCAACCGUGGAGGGUCAUUGGAAACUGGGGAACUUGAGUGCAGGAGAGAAGAGUGGAAUUCCACGUGUAGCGGUGAAAUGCGCAGAUAUCAGGAGGAACACCCGUAGCGAAGGCGGCACUCUGGGCCGAUUCUGACACUGAGGAGCGAAAGCGUGGGGAGCGAACAGG
rnacentral:rRNA from 1 species